GGGGAAGCCGGUGCAAAUCCGGCGCUGACCCGCAGCCGUGAACCGUCCGUGGGGGCGGUGAGCCGGAUUGCCC
rnacentral:ncRNA from 1 species